GUCCGUUUUCAUUUCAAUUUUGUAACUGUUAAUUGUAUAUAUCCGUCUGAGUACUGUUUAACUAUCAUUCAAGUUGAACAUAUUUAGACUCGUCCAGUUCAGGGGAAUUAGGUUUCUGCAAGUGCUUUUUAUGUACUUUUCUUAUAUUUUUGCCGGUUUGUAAGUCAGUAAAAGUUCAAUGAUUAAGUUAAUAUUGACAUUAAAAGACCUCCUCACAAAAAGGGCUGUUCAAAUCU
rnacentral:lncRNA from 1 species